GACUCAACAAGGUUUAACGAAACGCAUAAAGAGCCAUAACGAAAACGACCACACAACACAAAAUGCCAAUCCGAAAAAACUGAAGGGCCUGUGACAUGACUCAUGUGAAGAAGAAUUCACCAAGUGUUGGAUUGUUCACCCACCAAUAAGGAAUGUGAUCUGGGUUUAGACUGUCAUGAGAUAGGUUAGUUUUACCCUACUGAUGAAUCGUGCUGCAAUAGUAAUUCAACUUAGUACGAGAGGAACCGUUGAUUCACACAAUUGGUCAUCACACUUGGUUGAAAAUCUAGUGGUGCAAAGCUACUAUGUGUCAGAUUAUGAAUGAAUUCCUCUAAGUCAGAAUCCAUGCUAGAAGUGGCGCUUGUCACUCCUCGACUAUAUCUUGACCUACAAUAGGGGUGUCUCUUCGGCACCCCCAGGGGCCCGUGUCACUUAUGAACCUCAGCCAGGAAGCGUCUCGGUCGGUGUUAUCAGACUAAUCGGUAGGUUUGAACACUAACAGAUCUCCCUAGAUCCACCUGGAUCUAGAACAAAAUAGGACAAGACAUGACUCUUUCCCUAAGUUACAACCAUUGAAUUAGCUAGUAA
rfam:Picea glauca, whole genome shotgun sequence.